rnacentral:rRNA from 1 species
GAAUAUUGGACAAUGGGCGAGAGCCUGAUCCAGCCAUGCCGCGUGUGUGAAGAAGGUCUUCGGAUUGUAGAGCACUUUAAGUUGGGAGGAAGGGCAGUAAGCGAAUACCUUGCUGUUUUGACGUUACCGACAGAAUAAGCACCGGCUAACUCUGUGCCACCAGCCGCGGUAAUCCAGAGGGGGCAAGCGUUAAUCGGAAUUAAUGGGCGUAAAGCGCGCGUAGGUGGUUCGUUAAGUUGGAUGUGAAAUCCCCGGGCUCAACCUGGGAACUGCAUCCAAAACUGGCGAGCUAGAGUAGGGCAGAGGGUGGUGGAGUUGCCUGUGUAGCGGUGAAAUGCGUAGAUAUAGGAAGGAACAGCAGUGGCAAAGGCGACCACCUGGGCUCAUACUGACACUGAGGUGCGAAAGCGUGGGGAGCAAACAG